ensembl:lncRNA
UGUGAGGUCAUUCUGGGUGUGCUGUGGCCCUGGUUGUGCGGUGGCCCUAGGUGAGCAGUGGCCCUGGUUGUGAGGUCACUCUGGGUGUGCUGUGGCCCUGGUUGUGCGGUGGCCCUGGGUGAGCAGUGGCCCUGGUUGUGAGGUCACUCUGGGUGUGCAGUGGCCCCAGGUGUGCAGUGGCCCUGGUUGUGAGGUCACUCUGGGUGUGCUGUGGCCCUGGGUGUGCGGUGGCCUUGGGUGUGCGGUGGCCCUAGGUGAGCAGUGGCCCUGGUUGUGAGGUCACUCUGGGUGUGCUGUGGCCCCGGGUGUGCUGUGGCCCUGGGUGUGUGGUGGUCACUCUGGGUGUGCUGUGGCCCCGGGUGUGCUGUGGCUCUGGUUGUGCAGUGGCCCUAGGUGAGCAGUGGCCCUGGUUGUGAGGUCACUCUGGGUGUGAGGCGGCCCCGGGUGGGAUAUUGACCAGAGGGGAGAGGGGCCUUUCUAGCGUGAUGGAAACUUGAUGCAUCUCCAUUGAUUGUGCACCUUUAUCAGAACUUAUCAGCACGUACAGUCAGAAUCUGAAGAUUUCAUUGUAUGAAAAGUAAAUCUCAUGAACUUAUUAAGAAUUAAUGCAUAUUUAUAAGUUUUAAGUUAAAAAUAUAUGCAAAGUAUGUCUGCUUCCUUAUUUUUUAUUAUCACUUUCACCAUUUUAAACUUUAUAAUUUUAAUUAACUAACAGACCAUGUUGGCUUCAGAAAUGUGUUCCUUCUCUCUGUUACUUUCAUAAUGAAGGAAUAAAUGUAUUUUAAAUAAAAUUUUACAAUUUUCACCAUCACCUGGGAGGCUCAUGAUCCUGUAUGAAAGGGAAACACCGUCGUGCUAGAGUCAGAACUUUUCUGAUUAGAAAUUUAACAAAGUUGAUGACCCUGAGUGUCCUGGAGCCUGAAACACAGAAGACGGCCCACCCUUGAAUUCUAACAGGCCCAGCCAGCAGAGGCCAGGAACCCGCCCUCUCCAGCCCUCCUUUCUCUGGGCCGAUGGGCAGGGGCACUGGGGACCCCAGGAGCCUACUGGCCCCAGUUCUCCGGCAGGAUGCCCACUGGGCCCAGGGGGGAGGGGAUCAUCCGGGUGGGUCCCCUGGCUGGGCAGGGAGCUGCUGCCAUUAGCAGAGGUGCCGACGUGCUAAGUACACCUGGGAAAACGGGACUGAAUGCUUGUCUGCCUGAGAGAACUUCACCCCUGCACCUGCUCCAGUCAGACGCGCGCCCUCGACCACAGCUGCCUGCAGGGCUGGUCACUGAUGCGAAUGCCAGCCUGGGAUCUCUGUUCCUCCCUCCACCGGCCUCCUACCUCACUUCUCACCAUCCCUGGGGCUCAGAAACCACUCCAGGCCCCCAGCAGGUCCAGAGACCCCAUCUGCACUGCUUCCCUGAGACACCACCAGCUGACAGAGAGGCUGCAGCUCCUCCUGCUGCGGUGGCCAGAGGCCCUGCUGUGCCUCCACGGGCUCCUGGGGACGGAGUCAGGCUCAAGGGCACGUGCUGCUUCUGAAGGAGUGGUGUGUGCACACGGGAGAGCGCCACUGUCUCCCUGUACACACGGUGCAACGUGUGGGUGAAGCCACCUGCACGAGAGGCAACGAGGCGCGGGCAGACAGCUGCUGCUCUGCGGGCCGGGGUGGCCCUCCUGUCUGCUCAUCUCAGGCCGGACACUGCCCCGCACUGGGCCUGCAGCCCCAGGCAGACCCCCACUCACAGGGUGCAGAGGAUGGAGCCCGGCUGGUGUUCCGGGUAGCUGGAGUUGACGCUCACCUGGCGUCUCUUCGUGGGAGGGGUUUCUGGCCAGUGUCAGGCUCUGACACCACUGGAGGCCCUGGGAGACCUGGAAGGACUGGCCUUCUCAAGUGAGCUGAGGCAAGAGGACCCCUGAGGGAGGCCUGAGGGAGAGGCUGAGCUCCAGACUCCAGCCCCACAAUGCUGGGUGAUUCUGAGCCUCUCGGGGCCACGCCAGGACCCAGGGGUGCCCGGAGGGAGCACCUCCCAGGAACCAGAGAGCAGCUCUCCCCAAAGCCCCAUGCAGGGACAUUUGCUGAUAAAAGAAUGAACUGCAGGGAGGGCUGGAGCAGCCACGCCCUGGGGGGAUGGGGUCCCUCAUGCUGGAGUGGGACGCUCCUCUCCCUUCUGGGUCAGGGCUCAGCUCGGCUCUGCCUGCUCUUGAUCCUCUGCCGGCCCUGCCAGGCUCGGGAAUCAGGCCUGUAGGCCUGUCCCUUCACAGCUGCUCCAUGCUCUGGGCUCGCACCAUGUUCAUCCCUGCACAUUCGCAGUCCAGAGGUCAGGGGUCAGGAGAGCACAGAGGCGAGUGUGCACAGAGACACCUGGAGUGCCACACAAGGGGCCACAGGGAGCUGACCCCGGAGGGCCCCUUGGAGUUUCAGAUCAGGGGGCUCCAGUAAGGGGAGACCCCCAGACUAGGGGCCUCAUCUCAAACGCCUCAUUAACGCCUUAUGGGCGGUGACUUGGCAGGAACCCCACACCCACCACGCAGGGAGUCCCUUGCCCAUGGGCCAACCCAGAGGAGCAACUACCAGGCGCCUCAUCCUGGGGCGACUCCCUCCCUUCCUUGGGGUUCUCUUUGCAGUUACGCAACUGGGGCCACCAGUGGCAGACAUCACACGCAGAGGUCACUUUGACCUUCGUCACAGCAUCUGCCCUAAGGCACUCUCUCCAGCAGGGAGAGGGCAGCGCAGGUGGACAUCUAGGGACGGCAGCCACUCCCUCCCAUCAGGCCUGUAGUGCCCGCAUCUCUGAACACGGGAUGACAUGUGGGGACUCCAGGACUGGAGCCUCUCGGGGGGGCCUGCAUCUAGUUUCCAAAGCAACUCUGACUCUCAAACCAUUGGAGACCCCUCCUUAUUCGAGGUACUCUCCUGAUUUGGAGGAGAGAUUUAGAAUAAGUAUGUAAGAUCGGGCAGAGCUGUGAUACAACACAAGCCAGCACAGCUGAGCUGGAGACCAUGACAGACAUGCUGCUGUGGGGUGGCCAGUGCCAAGCCUGGGACCAGAGGAGGAGGAACGUGGCAGCACUGUGGUGCGUCCUGUGCCAGAAUUGGGACCUAGACACAGGAGAAGCGUGUGCGUGGUGGGCAAUCCUGACAAACUGGGACGGGACUGCUGGGCUGUCUCCUGGGAAUGUGAGCACCGCAGGCUGUGGUUACCGGUCGAGGUCAGCCGUAGGCGUGACGAGGAUAGAGGUGUCACACACUCCUACUUCUGGACAGAGAGUGGUCUCUGUGACUGAUGAAGACCAGCCUGGUGUCCCCCUAGCGUCCACUGCAGCUGCUCCCACGGGGGCCAGAGCCCAAAGCACAGGACCCACUGCAGGUGGGGCAGGCGGACCCUGUGCCAGAUGGAGAAUUUCAGGAGAUCUGGUUAACGCCGAGAUAGUCCAGUUCUCAAUGGGGGUCGUGGCCACCCAGGUGCUGACAUGUUCCAAAAUUCACCAGACGCACACUUAACAUGCCUGUGUUCUAUCGUACGGAAGUUACACCUUCAUAGAGCUGACUUUCACUAAGAAACAAACCGUAUCUGGGGCGAUACAUCUUCUACUGGGUGUUUAUAAAGCCCUCAGAACUCAAUCGUUCCCCUCGUUUGUCAGCACCACCCAGGGCCCGUCCUCGCACGUCUGCAGCCCGAGCGCAGUCUACACAACACCCACGCCCUCCUCGACCUCUAGCAGCUUUGUUGCCUCUGACAGGGAACAGGCAGUAACCUGCAAAUGCGGCACAUCCGACCCUCAGCGUGUCAGUUGGGCGGCAAGUGUCCACUGUGUCUGCCAGCCUGGGCACGGUACUAGGAGAAGCUGGAGGUAUGAACUAGUGUCCACACCGUAUCCUAGAAGGGCAGAGACACAGCGGAGUAAGCGCAGACCAGCGCCAGUAACUGGAUACAGGGCCAUGGCCAGAGCUCAGGGAGGCUGUAACCACGGGCCACCAGGACCGAUUCAAACUGACCGUCUUACCAAGAGCGACUGAGCUGUGUCUCAGGAACUGAGAGGCCUCUUGUCCAGUUCAGGCCUGUUGAGACCACCAACCCACCACCUGGACCUGUCGAAUGCCCAGUCAGUGACUCUCUGCCAUCAGGGGCUGCAAACCCCACCCUCAGGUCACCUAACACCUCAUCUGUGAGUAGGCGUCCUGUGAGAGCAUGGAGCUUGACUGCGCUGGUGCAGGCCGUCAAAUACGUCACUUCCCUCCUCAGUCGCUGUCUCCACACCUCAGACCACCCCCCAUCCCACAAAUUGAGCGCAAGUCCUGGGUCUGGAACACACCUCUGAGAGCUCUGACUCCCGCCUCCUGGCUGGCCGACCUCGAAAAAGCUGGUGGUGUGAUCAUUGGCUUUUUACGGGCAUCGGGCAGAGAACCCUGUCUUUGUGUGGUGAUGUGGCCACAGAGAAGGGAUGCACAUGUCCUCCAGGUCAGGGAGGGAUGCGGAGAGGUGGCCUCUGAGGGCGGUCUCAGAAGACACAGCACAGAGGGAGGAAGGAGGGAGCAUGAGAAAGGGCAUCCCAGACAGGUGACCUCGGAGAUGGGGAAUGAUGAGGGACCAUGUCUUUCAGGGACCACAGCAGCUCAGUGAAGCUGGAAUGCAGGGAGCAGGACAGAGGCUGGGCAGAAAUAGAGAGAAGGGAAAGGAGGGAGGGACGGAAGGAGGAAAGGAGGGAAGGAGGGAGGGAGGGAGGGAGGGAAGCAAAGGAAGGAGGGAAGGGAAGGAUGGAAGAGGAGGGAGGGAGGGCAGAAGGGAAGGAAAGGAGGGGGGAGGGAAGGAAGGAAGGAGAGAGGGAAGGAGGGAAGGGAAGGAUGGAAGAGGAGGGAGGGAGAGCAGAAGGGAAGGAAAGGAG